GAUGAACGCUGGCGGCGUGCCUAAUACAUGCAAGUCGAGCGAACAGACGAGGAGCUUGCUCCUCUGACGUUAGCGGCGGACGGGUGAGUAACACGUGGAUAACCUACCUAUAAGACUGGGAUAACUUCGGGAAACCGGAGCUAAUACCGGAUAAUAUAUUGAACCGCAUGGUUCAAUAGUGAAAAACGGUUUUGCUGUCACUUAUAGAUGGAUCCGCGCCGCAUUAGCUAGUUGGUAAGGUAACGGCUUACCAAGGCGACGAUGCGUAGCCGACCUGAGAGGGUGAUCGGCCACACUGGAACUGAGACACGGUCCAGACUCCUACGGGAGGCAGCAGUAGGGAAUCUUCCGCAAAGGGCGAAAGCCUGACGGAGCAACGCCGCGUGAGUGAUGAAGGUCUUCGGACCGUAAAACUCUGUUAUUAGGGAAGAACAAAUGUGUAAGUAACUAUGCACGUCUUGACGGUACCUAAUCAGAAAGCCACGGCUAACUACGUG
rnacentral:rRNA from 1 species